rnacentral:rRNA from 1 species
UACAGAGGGUGCGAGCGUUAAUCGGAAUUACUGGGCGUAAAGCGUGCGUAGACGGUUAUUUAAGUCGGAUGUGAAAGCCCCGGGCUCAACCUGGGAAUUGCAUUCGAGACUGAAUAGCUAGGGUGCGGUAGAGGGAAGCGGAAUUUCCGGUGUAGCGGUGAAAUGCGUAGAUAUCGGAAGGAACAUCAGUGGCGAAAGCGGCUUCCUGGACCAGCACCGACGUUCAGGCACGAAAGCGUGGGUAGCAAACAGG